rnacentral:rRNA from 1 species
UAUGUGAUCGUCUCUCGCAUAUCAAUAAGCGGAGGAAAAGAAACUAACAAGGAUUCCCCUAGUAACGGCGAGUGAAGCGGGAAGAGCUCAAAUUUGAAAUCUUAAAGGGUUUCCCUUUACGAAUUGUAGUUUAAAGAAGUGUUUUCUGUUGAGGUUUUGGUAAAAGUUCUUUGGAAUAGGACAUCAUAGAGGGUGAGAAUCCCGUAUUUGACCUUUACUUUCAACUUUGUGAUACACUUUCAAAGAGUCGGAUUGUUUGGGAAUGCAGUCCAAAAUGGGUGGUAAAUUUCAUCUAAAGCUAAAUAUUGGCGAGAGACCGAUAGCGAACAAGUACCGUGAGGGAAAGAUGAAAAGAACUUUGAAAAGAGAGUUAAACAGUACGUGAAAUUGUCAAAAGGGAAGCGUUUGACACCAGUGUUGUUUUUCUGAAAAUCAAUUAAAGAACUGUUUAUGCUAAGUUGUUUAGACUUUAUCAGCUAACUGUUUAGUUUUGAGCUUUUCUUUAAUGCACUUUUCAGUUAACAAGUCAACAUCAAUUUCUUUUGCUGUAAAAAAGCUUGAGGAAGGUGGCUUGAGAUUCGUCUUAAGUGUUUAUAGCCUCUUGCCUAUGCAGUCGGAGAGAUUGAGGUCUGCAGCGUAGAUCCUUCGGGGCUAAAUGCAUUUGUGCUAAGUUAUAGCAUUUUAUAGACAACUUGUUGACUAAUGAUUUGUCUUGUAGCUUACUCGCUUAUGUUAUUUUACCUACGCUUAGGAUGUUGACACACGCGCGUGCUCG